GUAGCUCAAUUGGAUAGAGCGUUUGACUACGGAUCAAAAGGUUAGGGGUUCGACUCCUCUC
rnacentral:tRNA from 5 species